rnacentral:rRNA from 1 species
UAUCAAUAAGCGGAGGAAAAGAAACCAACAGGGAUUGCCUCAGUAACGGCGAGUGAAGCGGCAACAGCUCAAAUUUGAAAUCUGGCGUCCGCCCGAGUUGUAAUUUGCAGAGGAUGCUUCGGGGCCGCGGCCGAUCUAAGUCCUUUGGAACAGGGCGUCAUAGAGGGUGAGAAUCCCGUAUGUGACCGGCUGGCACCCCACACGUAGCUCCUUCGACGAGUCGAGUUGUUUGGGAAUGCAGCUCUAAAUGGGAGGUAAAUUUCUUCUAAAGCUAAAUACCGGCCAGAGACCGAUAGCGCACAAGUAGAGUGAUCGAAAGAUGAAAAGCACUUUGGAAAGAGAGUCAAACAGCACGUGAAAUUGUUGAAAGGGAAGCGCAUGCAACCAGACUUGUCGGCGGUGUUCCCCCGGUCUUCUGACCGGGUCACUCGCCGCCGGCAGGCCAGCAUCGUUUGCGACCGCCGGAGAAAGGCGUAGGGAAUGUGGCUCCUCGGAGUGUUAUAGCCCUGCGCACAAUACGGUGCGUCGCGAGCGAGGUCCGCGCUUCGGCUAGGAUGCUGGCGUAAUGGUCGUAUGCGGCCCGUCUUGAAACACGGACCAAGGAGUCUACCAUCUAUGCGAGUGUUCGGGUGUCAAACCCCUACGCGCAAUGAAAGUGAACGGAGGUGGGAACGCAAGUGCACCAUCGACCGAUCCUGAUGUCUUCGGAUGGAUUUGAGUAAGAGCAUAGCUGGUGGGACCCGAAAGAUGGUGAUCUUUACUUGAAUAGGGUGAAGCCAGAGGAAACUCUGGUGGAGGCUCGCAGCGG